CUUCAGUCUAUAAUCGAACAUCUAGAAUGUAAUUUCAUCUGAGCAGGGACUAUCUAUGGACUACAACGGAGGGCAUCAUUCUAUAAUCGAACAUCUAGAAUGUAAUUUCAUCUGAGCAGGGACUAUCUAUGGACUACAACGGAGGGCUUCAGUCUAUAAUCGAACAUCUAGAAUGUAAUUUCAUCUGAGCAGGGACUAUCUAUGGACUACAACGGAGGGCAUCAGUCUAUAAUCGAACAUCUAGAAUGUCACUUCAUCUGAGCAGGGACUACCU